AUUGAACGCUGGCGGCAUGCCUUACACAUGCAAGUCGAACGGCAGCACGGGUGCUUGCACCUGGUGGCGAGUGGCGAACGGGUGAGUAAUAUAUCGGAACGUACCUUAUUGUGGGGGAUAACGCAGCGAAAGCUGUGCUAAUACCGCAUAAUCCCUAAGGGGGAAAGCGGGGGACCGUAAGGCCUCGCGCAAUUAGAGCGGCCGAUACCUGAUUAGCUAGUUGGUGAGGUAAAGGCUCACCAAGGCAACGAUCAGUAGCUGGUCUGAGAGGACGACCAGCCACACUGGGACUGAGACACGGCCCAGACUCCUACGGGAGGCAGCAGUGGGGAAUUUUGGACAAUGGACGCAAGUCUGAUCCAGCCAUUCCGCGUGCAGGACGAAGGCCUUCGGGUUGUAAACUGCUUUUGUACAGGACGAAAAGGUCUUUAUUAAUACUAGGGGCUCAUGACGGUACUGUAAGAAUAAGCACCGGCUAACUACGUGCCAGCAGCCGCCGCCG
rnacentral:rRNA from 1 species